ACCAAACAAAUUAUGAGGGACAUCUCGUUGGCAACGGUUGAGUGCCAAGAUUGCUGUCUUAUCUCUGCAACAGUGACACCGCACGCCUUCCGGUGAGGUGGCGCUGGUGAAACUACUGUGAAGGCUCCUCUAACCGUCUACUCUAACCGUCUACUCUAACUGUCUCCUCUAACCUCGGCACCUCCACUUCUCUCGACCAGAGAGAUAGAGGAAAGUGUCAAAGAUAGGUGUAUGGGCUAUUUGACCAAGAAGGAGAGUGAUGGAGUGUUGCAUCAGAUGACUUGGCAUCCACAAUCCCCCGACCUCAACCCAAUUGAAAUGGUUUGGGAUGAGUUGGAUCGCAGAGUGAAGGAAAAACAGCCAACAAGUGCUCAGCAAAUGUGGGAACUCCUUCAAGACUGUUGG